rnacentral:rRNA from 1 species
AUUGAACGCUGGCGGCAGGCCUAACACAUGCAAGUCGAGCGCAUGAAGGGAGCUUGCUCCUGGAUUCAGCGGCGGACGGGUGAGUAAUGCCUAGGAAUCUGCCUGGUAGUGGGGGAUAACGUCCGGAAACGGGCGCUAAUACCGCAUACGUCCUGAGGGAGAAAGUGGGGGAUCUUCGGACCUCACGCUAUCAGAUGAGCCUAGGUCGGAUUAGCUAGUUGGUGGGGUAAAGGCCUACCAAGGCGACGAUCCGUAACUGGUCUGAGAGGAUGAUCAGUCACACUGGAACUGAGACACGGUCCAGACUCCUACGGGAGGCAGCAGUGGGGAAUAUUGGACAAUGGGCGAAAGCCUGAUCCAGCCAUGCCGCGUGUGUGAAGAAGGUCUUCGGAUUGUAAAGCACUUUAAGUUGGGAGGAAGGGCAGUAAGUUAAUACCUUGCUGUUUUGACGUUACCAACAGAAUAAGCACCGGCUAACUUCGUG